AGCAAUCUAUACUGUGAAACUGCGAAUGGCUCAUUAAAUCAGUUAUCGUUUAUUUGAUAGUACCUUACUACUUGGAUAACCGUGGUAAUUCUAGAGCUAAUACAUGCUAAAAACCCCAACUUCGGAAGGGGUGUAUUUAUUAGAUAAAAAACCAAUGCCCUUCGGGGCUCCUUGGUGAUUCAUAAUAACUUAACGAAUCGCAUGGCCUUGCGCCGGCGAUGGUUCAUUCAAAUUUCUGCCCUAUCAACUUUCGAUGGUAGGAUAGUGGCCUACCAUGGUUUCAACGGGUAACGGGGAAUUAGGGUUCUAUUCCGGAGAGGGAGCCUGAGAAACGGCUACCACAUCCAAGGAAGGCAGCAGGCGCGCAAAUUACCCAAUCCCGACACGGGGAGGUAGUGACAAUAAAUACUGAUACAGGGCUCUUUUGGGUCUUGUAAUUGGAAUGAGUACAAUUUAAAUCCCUUAACGAGGAACAAUUGGAGGGCAAGUCUGGUGCCAGCAGCCGCGGUAAUUCCAGCUCCAAUAGCGUAUAUUAAAGUUGUUGCAGUUAAAAAGCUCGUAGUUGAACCUUGGGCUUGGCUGUCCGGUCCGCCUCACCGCGUGCACUGGUGCGGCCGAGCCUUUCCUUCUGGGGAGCCGCAUGCCCUUCACUGGGUGUGUCGGGGAACCAGGACUUUUACUUUGAAAAAAUUAGAGUGUUCAAAGCAGGCCUAUGCUCGAAUACAUUAGCAUGGAAUAAUAGAAUAGGACGUGUGGUUCUAUUUUGUUGGUUUCUAGGACCGCCGUAAUGAUUAAUAGGGAUAGUCGGGGGCAUCAGUAUUCAAUUGUCAGAGGUGAAAUUCUUGGAUUUAUUGAAGACUAACUACUGCGAAAGCAUUUGCCAAGGAUGUUUUCAUUAAUCAGUGAACGAAAGUUAGGGGAUCGAAGACGAUCAGAUACCGUCGUAGUCUUAACCAUAAACUAUGCCGACUAGGGAUCGGGCGAUGUUAUCAUUUUGACUCGCUCGGCACCUUACGAGAAAUCAAAGUCUUUGG
rnacentral:rRNA from 1 species